GAUUGCAUGCAUGCAGAUGCAAAGCAAAAAGGAUAAAAGAAGAUAAAGAAGCAAGUCAAACAGGGACAGGCAGCAGAUCCACAGCAACAGAUAAAGCUGAGUGUCACCACAUCCCCCCCUCCAGCCCUCCAGCCUCAUCAGGGCUGAGCCUUGCAGACGUCAAGUGUUAAUUUAGGGCUCCCGCCGAGCGUGAGGCUGUCAGGGACGUUGCUUGCAGGAGGGAGGUGAGCUCUUGCAGAAAAUGACCCUUCUGCUCUGAUUGUCUUCUGGCCCGCAGACUGCCACUGAGGGGGAAAAACAAAGGCGCAGGCAGAGAGAGGGAGAGGCGGCUGAGUGCUAAUGCAUCUCACAGCAAUUAGAGAAGCUUACCUGACUGCAUGAGCACUGCACACAAUAACAGACACGGAAGAGAUGGCCGCUAACAAGCCAGCGAGGUAACCACUUCCACACAGAAUGGGAGGAGCACUUUUUUCACUCCAUCGUGUCGGACAUGCCAUGGCUGACUUAAGACCUGCAGCGGGAACAACUUGACGAUGAAGACAUUUCUCUUGUCAUUUUCUGCAGUACUUCACUAUAAUUUCUUUUUUUUUUUCACUCUGCCCUCUAUUCCCCCCACCCCCAAGCGUCUGCAGUAUGUGGCAGGCUGAAUUGUGUGUUAUUACCCAGCA